UUGUAAAAUUAAAGAAAUUUUGUUCCAAGCCUGAUUUUUAAAAGCUUUGUAUUUGUACCUAACAUCAUUUUUAUUAUAUAAAACCGAAAAUUUUGAAACUUGUUCAAUUAUUCUUUAUUUGCCUUAAAUCUUCUCGUACGUGCCUAUUAUGGCGUUAGCGUACCACUAAAUCACUCUCUUCUAUUGUCUAAGGUCAAACAGAUUGCAAUGUAUGCAACAUACAAUGACGCUCUAAUCCAGUUGGUAGAUUAGAGAAUAAUAUAGAAGAAACAAAUAUGCCAGAUUUUCCUGAUAAUAACCAUACAAUUCCCCACAAAAAUGGUCUUGUGCUCACUGUUAAAAAAAAUGUAUUUCUAUUCAUAGUGUAGAUACCUAUAUUCCCAUUUUUCUCAACACCACCGGUGUGAACUACUGGAAACGUUUUUUUUAAAGCCUCAACUGGGAAUGCCAUGAAGAACUGAGGAAACUGGCUAGUUAUAUUAUAUAUGUGACAACGGCUGUUGAGUGUGCAAUACACAGAUCAACUCCAUAUAAAGGCCCUGAAACAGCUGUGGGGAUACCGAAGUCUUUGGUACUGAACCAGAACGAAAAGUGGGUCUAUAAAAAACAUCGAAACUACUGGAAAAACAUACCAUCUUCACAAAGGAACCAUCUGAGAAGAGAAGCGAAAGACUGCUUCAAUGAAGCAGGGAUCAACUCAGAACAAUCACAGGGCUACUCACUGGUCAUAGGGCUGUACAAAGGAGGCAUUAGCUGCAGGCAAUGCAACAAAGGGACAGAGACGGCUUGCCAUAUUUUAUGCAAAUGUGAGGCAUUGAAUCACAAGAGGCAAACAAUUUACAGGCAACCUAAAUUAUGUGACAUGCAUCCAACCGAUGUACAGAUUAGUACAGGGCACAAGAUUGUUGAAAUGUGGUUUCAUGAAAAAUAUGGGAAAAAAAACGCAAUACGCCCAUAAGACUGCUUUGUUUUCCGGAGACUUGGGAAUAACGUACAAAUCAGACAACUGAAAAAAAUGUAUGACUAUGAAAAAUUUUCAUUAUGUAUAGCAUAUUGAAUUAGCCUAGUGCCAUUGAAAGUAUUCUUUGAGUAUAUUAAGUAAAUGCUUUAUUGGACUAAUUACCAUAUUUAAUCGCCCUCAUAUGAAAACUCAACUUUCAGAGUAAUCCGCAUAAAAAAUGAUCAGUGGUCCAAGGACACUGACAAAUACUAGAUGAUUCCACUGCAAUUUUUGAAAGCACAGAAUAAUUUUGAGUAUUUAGAUAACAUGUUCUUACAUUUGUGUAUGAUAUUUGAUAAAUAAAUGAAAGUGUUAUCAACAAAAUUA